CUCCGGUUGAUCCUGCCGGACCCGACUGCUAUCAGAGUGAGAUUAAGCCAUGCGAGUUAACGUAGCAAUACGUGGCGCACGGCUCAGUAACACGUAGUCAACAUGCCCAGAGGACGUGGAUAACCUCGGGAAACUGAGUCUAAACCGCGAUAAGUGAGGAUUUCUGGAAUGGUUCCUGACUAAAAUCUAUAUGGCCUCUGGAUUGGACUGCGGCCGAUCAGGCUGUUGGUGAGGUAAUGGCCCACCAAACCUGUAACCGGUACGGGCUCUGAGAGGAGGAGCCCGGAGAUGGGCACUGAGACAAGGGCCCAGGCCCUAUGGGGCGCAGCAGGCGCGAAACCUCUGCAAUAGGCGAAAGCCUGACAGGGUUACUCUGAGUGACUUUCGCUAAGAAAGUCUUUUGGCACCUCUAAAAAUGGUGCAGAAUAAGGGGUGGGCAAGUCUGGUGUCAGCCGCCGCGGUAAUACCAGCACCCCGAGUGGUCGGGACGAUUAUUGGGCCUAAAGCAUCCGUAGCUUGUUCUGCAAGUCCCCCGUUAAAUCCAGCUGCUCAACAGAUGGGCCGCGGAGGAUACUACAGAGCUAGGAGGCAGGAGAGGCAAGCGGUACUCAGUGGGUAGGGGUAAAAUCCGCUGAUCCAUAGAAGACCACCAGUGGCGAAGGCGGCUUGCCAGAACGCGCUCGACGGUGAGGGAUGAAAGCUGGGGGAGCAAACCGGAUUAGAUACCCGGGUAGUCCCAGCUGUAAACGAUGCAGACUCGGUGAUGGGUUGGCCUCGCGCCUGCCCAGUGCCGCAGGGAAGCCGUUAAGUCUGCCGCCUGGGGAGUACGGUCGCAAGACUGAAACUUAAAGGAAUUGGCGGGGGAGCCA
rnacentral:rRNA from 1 species